UGGAUCGGCUCGUCGACUCUGUCGGCAUUAACAUCCGAUUUCGUAGACCGAAAUCGGUCUCGAUGUCAGCCGAUCAUGUCGGUGUCUUUUAAAUAGGUCGAUUUCGGCUUCGACGUCUGCCGAUAACGUCGGUAUGUCAAUUUUUUGGUGCAAAAGUGAAAAUUAUCAGGUAAGUUUUUCUAUUUUUUCAUAAAAUAAUUAUUUUAGAUACAGAAUUAGUGAUAAAUGUAAAGAAAACUUUAGUUUAGAUGCUAGAUUAUGGUCAGAACAUGGGGGAUUCUGAAAAUCCGGCCAAUAAAUCUUCCAAAUUUGCAAUUUAAUAUUUGCCUUCUUUGGGGUCAUUGUUUUUCAGAGUCUCUAACAAUUUCAUACAACCCUCAUUUUUAGGUAAAUUUUAUUGAAUUUUUCUUGGCAUGAUCUUGAUUCUUGCAGUGUGUGAUGGUUUUAGAUUUAUGGUGGAAUCUUCGUGUUGCGGAAUCAACGACCAGCACUGAGUGUUCUGGGCAAGAGCGACUACCCAUGUGGUGAGGAAGUUGGUCUGGUGAUCAUUGGUUCCGGUUCCGGAGGCUGGCUGCUAUUAAAGCUGCCCAGUUGGAGAUGAAGGCCGUGUGCAUUGAGAAGAACGACACAUGUGGUGUCACCUGCCUUAAUGUGUGAUAUAUCCCAUCGAAAUCUCUCCUCAAUAAUACCCAUGGACAUUGCGCAGCUCUUCAAGAAGAGAUGUAUCUCAUUAAGGGCUACGGGAGUAUCACGUCAGCCAAGGAAGUCACCGCCAAGGCGGAAUCUGGCUAAGAGAUGACUGCAAUGGGAGCAGAAGUCACCCCAUUUCCCCGACGGAUGGGUCGAAAGGUCAUAAAACGAAGGCUUGAAAAAUGCAUCUACAAGGGGUGUCCAUAUCAACGUACACGCGACUGUGACUUUUAAAAAUCCACGUGGGAAGCUAGCUGCCCCUUAGAGGGAUACCAUCAACGGAAACAUCCACAACUCUGCAUGGGAGUCUAGCUGCCCCUUAGGGGAAUACCGUCGGAGGCACCAGAGGCACUCGCAAUUCUUCAGUAUUAAAAAAAAACGACGUUCUUCAAGCUUCCGUCGUCGAAGAUCUUCGUGUUACAGCAUGCAUCAUGGGAUUCACAUGCAGAUAAGCCCAAAAUUAAUUUACCUUAUCAAAAUUGAUCAAAUGUGCCCUUUUCUAUACCCUAAUCAUACCCUUUUUUCCAAAAUAUCCUAUUUUCCGUAAUAAUAAUUUUAUCCAGAAAAAUUGUGAAAAAUCAUCAUUUUUUGAGUAAAAAGUGAUGAUCAUGUGUAAAACAUGAUAAUUUUUUAUUUGAUUAUGAUGAUUUAUAAAAAAAAUCAAAGACAAAAAUAUAAUUAUAAAUUGAAAAAUAUUUUAAAAGAAAAAAAAAGAUUUAAAAAAUGUUUAAAAAAUAUAAAUAGGUUUUUUUUCUAAUUUAAUUCUUAACACUCGGAGGACCGGGCAAUUUUCACUUACGCGGAGGAUGAAAUUGGACAGAAUGACCAACGGUUUUUUUUUCAAACAUUUCAAGGAAAUAUGGAAGAUUGCAUUUGCAAAAUAACUAUGCGUGCAUAUUUUAUUCAAUUAAUGGGGGGAUUUAUUGCGCUUCGCGCAAAUUUUGGAUAAAAAAAAUAUUAUAAUGGAAGAUUGAAAUCGAUAGACAAUCUAAAAUAUUGGUUUUUAUGGGUGCGCUGAAACCACUUAUCAAUCUCAAAAGAAAACAAUUUAUGGAGGCUACCUGAAGGGUUUUUUUUAGAUUAAUCCUUGUAUUUGCUUAUUUUAAGUAUUGAAUUUUCCGGAGUUUUUAUGUAAAAAAAAAGUAAACAACACUUUGACAAUUGUGCAAAAGAGUAUUUCGACGUGCCCGAAGAUUAUGAACCAUAUUCCUAUCUUUUAACACAGGAGUAUGGUUCAUAAUCUUCGGGCGCGUCGAUUUUUUUCGAAAAAAAAACCGUUGGUCACGGUGACCAUUUUCAUCCUCCGCGUAUAUUUUCGACUUUGACCUUAAUUAUCUUUUAAAAAGCAAAAUAUUUUCCGGAUUUUCUUUAGCCUAACUUAAAGUAAUUGAAAUUCCCUACACAUAGACGUGGUACUUAUCACGAUAGGUUCAAUACAUUUUAAUCUAUGACGAUUUAAAAACUCGAAAUGGACACGGUGUCCACAUAAAUCCUCUAAGU